UGGGGAAUUUUGGGCAAUGGGGGAAACCCUGAUGCAGCCAUCCCGCGUGUGCGAUGAAGGCCUUCGGGUUGUAAAGCUCUUUUGGCAGGAAAGAACCGUAAUGGGUUAAUACCGCAUGAAACUGACGGUACCUGCAGAAUAAGCACCGGCUAAAUACGGGCCAGCAGCCGCGGUAAUACGGAGGGUGCAAGCGUUAAUCGGAAUUACUGGGCGUAAAGCGUGCGCAGGCGGUUCGGAAAGAAAGAUGUGAAAUCCCAUAGCUCAACCUUGGAACUGCAGUUGAAACUACCGAGCUAGAGUGUGGUAGAGGGAGGGGGAAUUCCGCGUGUAGCAGUGAAAUGCGUAGAUAUGCGGAGGAACACCGAUGGCGAAGGCAGCCUGCUAGGAUAACACUGACGCUCAUGGACGAAAGCGUGGGGAGCAAACAGG
rnacentral:rRNA from 1 species